rnacentral:tRNA from 1 species
GCCAGUGUUUCUCAGUGGUUAGAGAAUUGGCCCAUGCACCAAAGGGUCAUGGGUUCGAUUCCCAGUCAAGUGCA